UGGUUAAAAAGCUCGUAGUUGGAUCUCGGCGGACUGAGGGCGGUUUGCUUGCUAGUAUUACUGCCCUAUAGUCCGUAGUUUUGCCAGAGGUUUCGGGGUGCUCUUAAUCGAGUGUCCCGGGAUGCUGGCAGGUUUACUUUGAAAAAAUUAGAGUGCUCAAAGCAGGCUAUUACGCCUGAAUAUUCGUGCAUGGAAUAAUAGAAUAGGAAGUCGUUUCUAUUUUGUUGGUUUUCGGAAAUCGACUUAAUGAUUAAUAGGGACAGUCGGGGGCAUUUGUAUUCAAACGACAGAGGUGAAAUUCUUGGACCGUUUGAAGACAAACUACUGCGAAAGCAUUUGCCAAGAAUGUUUUCAUUAACCAAGAACGAAAGUUAAAGGUUCGAAGGCGAUUAGAUACCGCCCUAGUUUUAACCAUAAACGAUGCCAGCUAGCGAUCUGCGGACGUUUUUUUUGUAGACUCCGCAGGAAGCUUCCGGGAAACCAUAGCAUUUGGGUUCCAGGGGAAGUAUGGUUGCAAAGCUGAAACUUAAAGGAAUUGACGGAAGGGCACCACCAGGAGUGGAGCCUGUGGCUUAAUUUGACUCAACACGGGAAAUCUCACCAGGCCCGGACACUGGAAGGAUUGACAGAUUGAUAGCUCU
rnacentral:rRNA from 1 species